rnacentral:rRNA from 1 species
UGGCUGUAACUGACGCUGAGGAGCGAAAGCAUGGGAGCGAACAGGAUUAGAUACCCUGUAGGUCCAUGCCGUAAACGUUGGGCACUAGGUGUGGGGACCAUUCCACGGUUUCCGCGCCGCAGCUAACGCAUAAGUGCCCCGCCUGGGGAGUACGGCCGCAAGGUAAAACUCAAAGGAAUUGACGGGGGCCCGCACAAGCGGCGGAGCAUGCGGAUUAAUUCGAUGCAACGCGAAGAACCUUACCAAGGCUUGACAUGUUCUCGAUCGCCGUAGAGAUACGUUUCCCCUUUGGGGCGGGUUCACAGGUGGUGCAUGGUUGUCGUCAGCUCGUGUCGUGAGAUGUUGGGUUAAGUCCCGCAACGAGCGCAACCCUCGUUCCAUGUUGCCAGCACGUAAUGGUGGGGACUCAUGGGAGACUGCCGGGGUCAACUCGGAGGAAGGUGAGGACGACGUCAAAUCAUCAUGCCCCUUAUGUCUUGGGCUUCACGCAUGCUACAAUGGCCGGUACAAUGGGUUGCGAUACUGUGAGGUGGAGCUAAUCCCAAAAAGCCGGUCUCAGUUCGGAUUGGGGUCUGCAACUCGACCCCAUGAAGUCGGAGUCGCUAGUAAUCGCAGAUCAGCAACGCUGCGGUGAAUACGUUCCCGGGCCUUGUACACACCGCCCGUCAAGUCACGAAAGUUGGUAACACCCGAAGCCGGUGGCCUAACCCUUCUGGGUUG